ACUGGGUGCAGUGGAGUGUGCCUGUAGUCCCAGCUACUCAGGAGGCUGAAGCUGGAGGAUCGCUGGAGUCCAGGAGUUCUGGGCUGUAGUGCACUAUGCUGAUUGCGUGUCUGCACUAAGUUCAGCAUCAAUAUAGUGACCUCCCGGAAGUGGGGGACCACCAGGUUGCCUAAGGAGGGGUGAGCCAGCCCAGGAAAAUGGUGCAGGUCAAAACUCCCGUGCUGAUCAGUAGUGGGAUUGAGCCUGUGAAUAGCCACUGCACUCUAGCCUGGGCAACAUAGCAAGACCCUGUCUCA
rnacentral:SRP_RNA from 1 species